UGUAAUAGGAGCUUAAUAAAUGAUCUGGGAUCACGGGGCAUUAAAAAGAUAAUCCAGUUUGGGGGGGACAUCUAGUGUCCGGAAGGAGAAUAGACAAGCAAGAUAGCUAACAACCAUCUGUACGGCGGCUCAGAAACUACGCGACGCGAGACUCGGAAGGACCAAAGGGCAACGCGACGCGGCGCUCCUAUGUCAGAGCCCAGAUUUCCCGGAUAGUAAUAGACGCGGUGGAGCGACGGUUCAUUGAGGGGCGCCCCUCUUGGAGUCCGCACGGAAGGGAAGGGCCGCUAAUCCAGGGGAAAAUGGCUGGCGGGCCGUCGUUUUCAUUUUGAUUACCUAAGGGAAGGAAGACCGACCUCAGCCUGACCGCAACCGAACUCGGGAUCUUGCUCCCAGAUCCAAAGCCCCCAGUCACGCACGCUUCCAGCCCCUCCGUCGUUUUCCGAUAAGCGAAGCCCCCCCAACCUCCCCGGGAACCGGGCCUCCCUUGCCCCUCCCGCCCCGCCGCGGCCCCCUCCCUUCCCGCUUCCCUUGAUGCUCGCCCUUCCCCCACUAGAGGCUCCGCUGUCGGAGGCCUGGGACUGCCCCGCCCUUCUCGGUGCUCUUUACACAUUCUCCCUGUCUUGUCUCUGUCUGUAUCUGUCUGUCUCAUUUCUCAUCUCCCUCCUCUUCUCUCUCCCUCAUCUGCCCCCUUCCCCCCCAUCUCUAUCUCAUUUCUCAUCUCUGUUUCUUUGUCUAUCUGUCUGUCUGUCUGUCUCUCCAUUUCUUAUCCCCCUUUCACUGUUUCUCUCCUUCCCUGUCUUACUUCCUUAUCUCCCCUCUCCUCCCUGCAUCCUGCUCCAUUUCACUCUCUCCCCCACACUCUUCCUCAGCCCCCAUAUUCAGUUGCCAAGCCCUGUCAUUGCCAUCCACACUACGUCUCUGGCAUAUCUCCGCUGCUCUCCAGUUACCCAACAUCACUUUUCACCAGGAAUAUCGGAAUAGCCUCCUAGUGGGUCUCCCUGCCUCCAAUCUUCAUCUGGGAUAUCGGAAUAGCAGUGGAUCUCCCGGGCUUUCCUCUCCAGUCCUCUCGAUCCACUUACGCAGUGCUGAGUGGGCUAGGUACAGGGUAAUCCCAGAGGAGAGCAGAUAUUAAUGGCCAGCUUUGAGUCCAUACGCAGAAGAAGAAGGAUGAGGAGAGAAUCAGAGAAAGGCAGAGAUGUAGCAAGAUUCAGGAAUGCAGAAAGAGACACAGAGACAUACAUACACUUGCUCUUGCUUCCUGCUAACCCCUGCUGAGAACAUCAAUGAAGAAUGAUUGUUUGGCACCUUAACAUCGGCUCACUUUCAUAUGUAACCGGAGAAGCUUGGUAUGUAUGGCCCUGGCAAUCAGUACCCUCAGAGAGGAGUGAUGUGCAAAUUAAUAUACACAAUGAAAAGUAAAUUUGUUGACUUAUAAAACUUAAACAUUUUAAAGAUGAAUGUCCUUGUUUUAUUCCAACACCUUGAUCUGUAUUAUUUGACUUUGAGUUCAAAAGAUUUGUUAUUUCUAAAAAUGUCUUGAUAAUGCGAUUGCUGGUAUUAUUAUGGUACCUAGCCCUCAUUACAACAACUAGAGUGGGAAAUGUAGGGGAAAGCUGCUUCUAGGCCCUUAUGCUUUAUAUUCCAGGAUAAUGGUUACUAGAGUUUUUGGUUUUAUGAAGCCCUUUCAACAACUAUAAAAAUAUGGUGUGAACUCCAAGGGUAAUUUAAUAUACUACUUAUAAUAUUCUUUUAAAUGUAUUCAUUAAGUGCUUACAAUAAUUACAAUGAAAACAUUUUUCCCAUAAGCUCCAAAUUGAAAUGUACAAUAUAUUUUAUUCUAUAUAUAAUUAUGCUUUCAUUGUAAAAUUAAUUAUAACAUGAUUACAAGUAUUUUAUGUGGAACAUCCUGUAAGAAUUAAAAGAAAUCAUCCAACAAGACUUCAUAUGUUUAUUCCUAUCUGAAAGAUAUCUCAAGUGUAUUUUAAAAUUUUGUUGAAUAUAAACAAAAUCUUAAUGAAAGAAGUUACAAACUAGAAAAUGUUUAUCAUAAUAUAAUUCUGUAUGGGUGAUUUCUAAGUUUGACUUUUUUAUUUGAUCAAAAGUUUGUAAUAUUUGACUUACUACUAAGCAAACACAAUAUCAAAUCUGGUUCUGCACCUA